CAACCCUCAAGCACCGCUUGGCGUUGGGGCACUACGCGCUGAGCGUAGGCCCCUAAAAUCAGUGGCGGACCCGCCGUGGCUCCGGGCGUAGUAGCAACACCUCGCCCUGGGACCGCGGCGCGCUCCGGCCGUUAAACCCCCACUAUAUCGAAGG
rnacentral:misc_RNA from 1 species